rnacentral:rRNA from 1 species
GAAAUGACUCUCGGCAACGGAUAUCUCGGCUCUCGCAUCGAUGAAGAACGUAGCGAAAUGCGAUACUUGGUGUGAAUUGCAGAAUCCCGUGAACCAUCGAGUCUUUGAACGCAAGUUGCGCCCCAAGCCUUUAGGUCGAGGGCACGCCUGCCUGGGUGUCACAC